rnacentral:snRNA from 1 species
AUCAGGGAUUUCACGAACA